AGCAGUCGCCGCGGGAACACAGAGGGUGCGAGCGUUAAUCGGAUUUACUGGGCGUAAAGCGUGCGUAGGCGGCUUUUUAAGUCGGAUGUGAAAUCUCUGAGCUUAACUUAGGAAUUGCAUUCGAUACUGGGAAGCUAGAGUAUGGGAGAGGAUGGUAGAAUUCCAGGUGUAGCGGUGAAAUGCGUAGAGAUCUGGAGGAAUACCGAUGGCGAAGGCAGCCAUCUGGCCUAAUACUGACGCUGAGGUACGAAAGCAUGGGGAGCAAACAGGAUUAGAUACCCGUGUAGUCCCUGUCUCUUAUAC
rnacentral:rRNA from 1 species